GCCUGGGUGGCUCAGUUGGUUAAGCGUCUGACUUCUGAUCUCACAGUUCAUGGGUUCAAGCCCCACGCCAGGCU
rnacentral:tRNA from 1 species